UACGGUAGGGGGCAAGCGUUGUCCGGAUUCAUUGGGCGUAAAGAGCGUGUAGGCGGCCAGGUAGGUCGGUUGUGAAAACUGGAGGCUCAACCUUCAGAGGUCGACCGAAACCAUCUGGCUAGAGUCCGGGAGAGGAGAGUGGAAUUCCUGGUGUAGCGGUGAAAUGCGCAGAUAUCAGGAAGAACACCCGUGGCGAAAGCGGCUCUCUGGAACGGUACUGACGCUGAGACGCGAAAGCGUGGGGAGCGAACAGG
rnacentral:rRNA from 1 species